AGAUUUAUUUAUUUAUUUAUUUAUUUAUUUAUUUAUUAUAUGUAAGUACACUGUAGCUGUCUUCAGACACUCCAGAAGAGGGAGUCAGAUCUCUUUACGGAUGGUUUUGAGCCACCAUGUGGUUGCUGGGAUUUGAACUCAGGACCUUUGGAAGAUCAGUCAGUGCUCUUACCCGCUGAGCCAUCUCACCAGCCCGCCAGGGAUCAUUCUUAAUUGGUUUUCUACUUUAUUCCUGAGGCAAGGUCACUCAAUCAAACCCAGAGCUCACCAAUGUGGCUCCUCUUAUUUACCUCAGCAACACAUCCAAGGUUUCUAUGACCAGGGUCUGGAUGUAGUAAGCAAAAUAAUUAGCAAGUGAUGUCUAAAAUAACUACCACAUUCUGUCAAGAAUGAACAUCUUGAGAUUACUCUGCCCUUUAUCUAACUCUGUGCAAAUUACGUUUUUUAUGGGCUGUUUUGCCCUCAAAAACUCUGGAUCACUGAGUUCGGACAUCAGGAGUCUUUUCAGAAGCAUAAGCCCUCUCCAGUCUGGUUACCGGUAAAAAAGAUUUACCCCCUCCCCCCACAUUUUAAAAUUUGUUUUCUCCUCUCCUACAUUACAGCCAGGCUGCAGUUUCCUUUCUCUCUAUUCCUCCUAGUCCUCCCCCAAACUCCCCUUUCCCCUAAGAUCAACUUCUCUGUUGCCCUUCAAAGGAAAAAAAAAAAAAAAAGCAGGCUCCCAACUUAAAAAAAAAAAAGAUUUAUUUAUUUAUUAUCUGUAAGUAUACUGUAACUGUCUUCAGACGUCCCAGAAAAGGAUAUCAGAUCUUUAUUACGGAUGGUUGUGAGCCACCGUGUGGUUGCUGGGAUUUGAACUCUUAGCCGCUGAGUCAUCAAUCCAGCCCGGUUCCCAACUUUUAAUUGGCUUAAUCAGCGUGAUUGUCAAUAAUUAUCUCCUAUCCACCAUUAUGCUACCACACCCAACUUAUGUGGCAGCUGGGAUAGGACACAGGACACGGGGCUUUAGACGUGCUAACAAGUGCUCUACCGAUGGAGCCGCCAUAUCACUAGUCCUCAGAAGUUUGUGCGUGUAUUUAUUAUUUAUUAUUUAUUUAUUUAUUUUCCGAGACAGGGAUGCUUCAAGGGACAGUGGGCUAGGUGGUGACAAGAGUUCUACCUGCAAUUAUAUUGUUUUUUUUUUUUAAAUACAUUGAUUUUGUGUGUGUGUGUGUGUGUGUGUACACAAGAGUACCAUAGUGUAUGAGGGUAUGAAUAAGGCGGCUCUCUCCUCACCACGUGGGUUCCAGGGAUCAAACUCCUCAUGUUCUUAGACCUGGCAUAAUGUACCUGUAUCACCCUUGGCCACCCAUUACAUUAUUUAUUUCCUUAGCCACGUCGAUCGGCUUCUUCACGUGAGGACUGUUGUUAGGGAACUCUCUGUCCUCCUCCCCUCCCCUCCCCUCUCGUCCUCGCUUAUGGUUAGCUUUUAUUAUCUGUCUAAGUAUUUACCUUUGUACCGUUAAAGCAUUUAAUGCAUUUAUUAAUUGACUGAUCUCUGAGGCUCUCUGAGAAGGCGCUCUGUGAAAUUCCAGCCUUGCUUAAUCACCUGCCUAACUUCUCAAGCCACCCCAGCUAUUAUUUUUAUGCUGUCAAGGUUUAGUUACAAAGCUUCACAUUCACUUAGGUAUUUAGCAUGGGGAGGGAGGGGCACAUGGGUGCCGAGGCUGCCUGUAUGGAGGUCAGAGGACUUCCAGACGUUGGUUGUCGGGCUUGGUGACCAAACCUUCACCCACCGAGUGAACUAUCUCCUUGUCUCUGUUGUCAAACUGUUUAAUGUAUACUUCACACACACACACACACACACACACACACACACACACACACACACACACGUAUAUUACCUCCCCCUGAUCUCUCUGUGUGGCACUGGCUGGGAGGCAGAGGCAGGAGGAUCUCUGUAAGUCUUAGGCCAGCCUGGUCUACAGAGUGAGUUUCAGGACAGCCAGCCAGGGCUAUACAGAGAAACCCUGUCUGGGGGUGAGGAGAGAGAGAGAGAGAGAGAGAGCCUGGAAUUACCUCUGACUCACAUUCAUAAGCAAAGCAUAUACAUUAGGUCCUGUACAUGGCUCAGAUUUUUCCUCUUAAUUUUAAAAGCCAUGAGCUGGUAAGAUGGUUUCCCAGGUAGGUGUGCUUGCCACCAGUCCUGAUGGCCUGAGGUCAGUCCUUGGGAUCCACACGAUAGAAAGAGAAAACCCACUUCCCACCUGUGUGUUGUGGCAGGCAUGCACAAUAUGCCCAUCCCAGAAUAGAUGAAAAUGUUAGAAUUAUAAAGAGAGAGAGAGAGAGAGAGAGAGAGAGAGAGAGAGAGAGAGAGAGAGAGAGAGACUGUGUCAGGCCAGGUAUUGCGACACCUCCCUCUAAUCCCAGCACUCAGGAGGCAGAGGCAGGAAGAUUUCAGUGUGAGGCCAACCUGGGCUACCUUGUGAAUUCAAGCCCAGACAGGCUUUGUAGUGAGACCCUGUCUUUAAAACAAGACAAGGGGCUCUCAAGUUCUGUGAUUCUAGGAUUUUGAUAAUUUUAUUUAGGUUUUCCCAUGUGUUUGGCAUGUACUUUCCCCUAUACUCUUAUGACCCUUUUCAUUUCUUCAGUAUUGUUUAGUGAUUUGAGUCUUCUCAACUCUUUUUAUUUCUUAGUCUAUCCACCUAAAUAUAAUUUUGUCAAGUUUGUGGGUGUUCCAGAGAACCAGGUUUUAAACUUCAUGUGGUGGAUCACCAUUACAAUUUGGUCUCUGUUACUGUGGUAAAAUGCUCUGGCUUGUACAGCUUUCAUAGGUCACAGUUCUGUUGAAGGAAGUCCAGGGCAGGAACCCCAGGUAGGAACCUGGAGGCGAGACCCAUAGAGGAAUGCUGUAUGCUAACUGCUUCUCCGCCUUGCUCGCAAGUUCAUGCUCACUCAGGUAGAUGUUUACAUAGCCCAGGACCACCUACUUAGGGAAUGACACUGCCCAUAGUGGGCUGGGUCAAUUAGCAACCAAACAACCCCCAUAGAAUACCCACAGGCCCCUCUGAUCUAGGCAGCUCCUCAAGUGGGGUUUCCCUCUUCCUGGGUGACUCAAGUCUGAGUGAAAUUGACAGUAAAAACUGAGCAGGAUGCCUGCAUCUAUAACAUCACAGCACACGGGAGGUAGAGGCAGGAGGAUUAGGAGUUCGGGCUCAUCCUCCACUAUGAGUAGGGGAUGAAGGCCAGUCUGGGCUCUAUGGUACUUUGUGUGGAAGACAGCAAAUGAGUAAAAACAAAAGACAUUUUCAUCUUUGUUUCCUUACUGAUCUUCUUUCUCACUUCCUUUCUUUUUUUCCCACCUUAUCUUUUUCUUCUU
rnacentral:lncRNA from 1 species